UACGGAGGGGACUAGCGUUGUUCGGAAUUACUGGGCGUAAAGCGCACGUAGGCGGAUUUGUAAGUCAGGGGUGAAAUCCCGGGGCUCAACCUCGGAACUGCCUUUGAUACUGCAAAUCUCGAGUCCGGAAUAGGUGGAGGUGGAAUUCCUAGUGUAGAGGUGAAAUUCGUAGAUAUUAGGAAGAACACCGGUGGCGAAGGCGGCCCACUGGAUCGGUACUGACGCUGAGGUGCGAAAGCGUGGGGAGCAAACAGG
rnacentral:rRNA from 1 species